rnacentral:lncRNA from 1 species
CUUUCCUACAAUACAUAAUUAAAAAAAAACUCAUUAAUUAAAAAAUUAUUAAGGACAUACUCAAAAGAUGAUGCCUUUCUUGGGACUUUAGGCGACUGUCUUGUUUGCUUAUACUUAAAGCUACCACUGGAUGUGACUAUUCGAGACCUUAUCACUACCGUAAGUGAAGCUUACUGGAAAAUUUUGAGUGAGAGCAUUGAUAUGAUCUUGGGAGUGUCUAGUUUGGCUUCCACUUAGGGGAAUGAAGAAACUAAUCUUCAACUCCAGGUGAAAGACAACGAUGCAGGAAGGAAAAUGAAGAGUGGAGCUAGGGUGGGCUGAUGAGUGAUCAUGCCCUUGCUUUCAUUUUCUCUUUUUUUUUUUUGGGUUUGUUAUCAUUUCAUAAUUACAAAAAUAACCUUAUACCUUGGAGUGUUUAAACAUUUUUUUCAAUUUUAAUGGUAUAUAAGUAAUUUUAUUCAAAGGGUCAUUUAUUAUUCUAUUCACUUAAUAAAUGGAAAAGGACAAACACACCCCCAACGUUUAGGCAAAGGGACAAAAAUCCUCCUAACAUU